rnacentral:rRNA from 1 species
GAUGAACGCUGGCGGCGUGCCUAAUACAUGCAAGUCGAGCGAACAGAUGAGGAGCUUGCUCCUCUGACGUUAGCGGCGGACGGGUGAGUAACACGUGGAUAACCUACCUAUAAGACUGGGAUAACUUCGGGAAACCGGAGCUAAUACCGGAUAAUAUAUUGAACCGCAUGGUUCAAUAGUGAAAGACGGUUUUGCUGUCACUUAUAGAUGGAUCCGCGCCGCAUUAGCUAGUUGGUAAGGUAACGGCCUACCAAGGCAACGAUGCGUAGCCGACCUGAGAGGGUGAUCGGCCACACUGGAACUGGGACACGGUCCAGACUCCUACGGGAGGCAGCAGUAGGGAAUCUUCCGCAAUUGGCGAAAGCCUGACGGAGCAACGCCGCGUGGGUGAUGAAGGUCUUCGGAUCGUAAAACUCUGUUAUUAGGGAAGAACAAAUGUGUAAGUAACUAUGCACGUCUUGAUGGUACCUAAUCAGAAAGCCACGGCUAACUACGUG